CUUUGCUGGCGACCGGCGCGACGGGUGAGUAACACGUACUCCAACCUACCCUUUACUCGGGGAUAGCCUUUCGAAAGAAAGAUUAAUACCCGAUAGCAUAAUGAUUCCGCAUGGUUUCAUUAUUAAAGGAUUCCGGUAAAGGAUGGGGAUGCGUUCCAUUAGGUUGUUGGUGGGGUAACGGCCCACCAAGCCUUCGAUGGAUAGGGGUUCUGAGAGGAAGGUCCCCCACAUUGGAACUGAGACACGGUCCAAACUCCUACGGGAGGCAGCAUG
rnacentral:rRNA from 1 species